AGGAACAAGGUCUCCGUAGGUGAACCUGCGGAGGGAUCAUUACAAGUUGACCCCGGCCCUCGGGCCGGGAUGUUCACAACCCUUUGUUGUCCGACUCUGUUGCCUCCGGGGCGACCCUGCCUCCGGGCGGGGGCCCCGGGUGGACAUUUCAAACUCUUGCGUAACUUUGCAGUCUGAGUAAAUUUAAUUAAUAAAUUAAAACUUUCAACAACGGAUCUCUUGGUUCUGGCAUCGAUGAAGGGUAUUCCGGGGGGCAUGCCUGUUCGAGCGUCAUUUCACCACUCAAGCCUCGCUUGGUAUUGGGCGACGCGGUCCGCCGCGCGCCUCAAAUCGACCGGCUGGGUCUUUCGUCCCCUCAGCGUUGUGGAAACUAUUCGCUAAAGGGUGCCGCGGGAGGCCACGCCGUAAAACAACCCCAUUUCUAAGGUGACCUCGAUCUUGAUGUUGUAUUUGCCCCGCA
rnacentral:rRNA from 1 species